CCGCCCCACCCCUUUGGGCGUCUGACGUCAUGGCGCCGCGUUCCACACGCCCGGACCAAUGGGAGGAGCCGACGGUGACGUAACUAAUCUCCCUUCUAGCGAGGAGCUACUCCGGCAACCUGGAGCGUUGCAAUUAGAAUGAGUAAACCUUGCUGACCUAAGGGGAAGGAGGAAAGGAGGGGGUCACUAAGAGUGUAAGACUUGGAUUUGGCGAGGCGGCCAAAGCGGGAAACCCAAGAGCCUUGAAUCACGAAGGGAUGCCCAAAGAGUUAGCAGCGAGUCCUACUUGGGAAUUAAGACGUCUAGCUUCUGUUCAGGGUCAGCGACCUGAUACAACUCAUACGCCUUCUGGGCCUCACUUUUCCCAUGUAUUGAGGACUAAGUUGAAAGGUGACCUCUAGGCCGCGCGCAGUGGCUCACGCCUGUAAUUCCAGCACUUUGAGAGGCCAAGGCAGGAGGAUCGCUUGAGCCUGGGACGUCGAGGCUGCGGUAGCUGUGAUCGCGCCACUGCACUCCAGGAGGGCAACGGAGCGCGACUCUGUAUCAAAAGAAAAAAAAAGAAAGUUGACCUCUGACUCUUCCUUCAAUUCUGACAUUCUAUGGGUUUAAACCAGGUAUUUCUUCAGAGCAGCGCAAGAAGGACCCAACACACUGCCUAUUCCUCUUCGUUAAAGAUUAGCAUUCCCCCUUGCUUGAAGAUGAUGUAAAAAUACCUGCCUUACAAGAUAGGUGCCUCUUUACCCAGGCGUGGUAGUGCGCACCUGUAAUCCCAGCUACAGCUACUCAGGAGGCAGAAGCCGGAGAAUCACUUAAACAUGGGAAGUCGAGGCUGUAGUGAGCCGAAAUUGCGCCACUGCACAUCAGCCUGGGUGACAGAGCAAGAUCCUGUCUCAAAAAAAAAAAAAAAAAGAUAGGUGCCUCACCAUCUGGAUCUACUCUAAAGUCCCAACCUAAUCAUUAGACCAAUAACUAAAAUAACAACAUGAAUGACCAGGACGUGCCAAAGGAGGAAAGGGACUAUAGCUAAAGGAGCUGCAGAACAUAACCAAUACGUACUGACAAACACCGGGAGAAUAUUAAUGGGACUGGAUUCUGAGGAUUCCAAUUCUCAACCAAAAUAGGGAGAGGUUAUCAACUUGGAACACAGGAUUUAAUACCCUGACAAGGACCCUGAGAAAUAGUGCUAACAUAUUCCUAGGAUGGGUCUUAUGAG